GUUUUGUCAAAUGGUAAAUGUAAGCAAGACGAGUUCGCACGUUGUAAUGAUUGUAGAUCUGAAGUAAGUCGGUGGGAUAGAUGUAUCCACAACCUAGAUGUUCAAUAUUUUUUCACAAUGGCCGAGGCUUCCACAACAACAGAUCUUCCAGAUGCAAUGAAUGUUCAGAUUAAAAGGGAUGAAUCCAGUAAUCCAACCAUUUAUUAUCUUAUGAAAGGCGCCCAGAAAAACGAUCAAUUUACGUGGACAGUACUGGAAGAAACGCAUGACGAAGUUACUGUAAUGUUUACAGUAUUUGAGGGUAAUUUAAAAUCGGGUAGAAAAUAUUAUCAUCAAUCAAAACCAAUACCUAAAGCUGUCUGGCAGAAUAUAUCUGUAGUUAAAAAGGAAAGCGAGUUGAGAAACCAGUAGUAGAAGCUAACAGUAACGGUACAGUAGAAGAAGCUCUAGUAGAAGAACCAUUACCAACAGGAGAACCAAUCGCACCUACCCGAGCACCAAUCGCUCCUACCCAAGCACCAAUCGCACCUACCCAAGCACCAAUCGAAGCUGUCUCUAUAUAUGAAACCCAACCCCCAUACACAGGACAUAGCUAGAUAAAUUCUAUCAACAAAAUAAAAGCUGAUUAAACAGUACUGAUAUAAA